rnacentral:rRNA from 1 species
AUUGAACGCUGGCGGCAGGCUUAACACAUGCAAGUCGAACGAGUGGCGGACGGGUGAGUAAUGUCUGGGAAACUGCCUGAUGGAGGGGGAUAACUACUGGAAACGGUAGCUAAUACCGCAUACCAUCAGAUGUGCCCAGAUGGGAUUAGCUUGUGGGUGGGGUAACGGCGCACCUAGGCGACGAUCCCUAGCUGGUCUGAGCGGAUGACCGGCCACACUGGAAAUGAGCCACGGUCCGAACUCCUACGGGAGGAAGCGGUGGAGAAUAUUGCAAAAUGGGCGCAAGCCUGAUGCAGCCAUGCCGCGUGGAUGAAGAGGGCCUUCGGGUUGUAAAGUACUUUCAGCGGGGAGGCGUUACCCGCAGAAGAAGCCCCGGCUAACUCCGGGCCAGCAGCCGCGGUAAUUC